rnacentral:rRNA from 1 species
AUUGAACGCUGGCGGCAUGCCUUACACAUGCAAGUCGAACGGCAGCACGGGGCAACCUGGUGGCGAGUGGCGAACGGGUGAGUAAUGCAUCGGAACGUACCUUUCAGUGGGGGAAACGUAGCGAAAGUUACGCUAAUACCGCAUAUUCUGUGAGCAGGAAAGCAGGGGAUCGCAAGACCUUGCGCUGAUUGAGCGGCCGAUGUCAGAUUAGCUAGUUGGUGAGGGAAAGGCUCACCAAGGCGACGAGCUGUAGCGGGUCUGAGAGGAUGAUCCGCCACACUGGAACUGAGCAACGGCCCAGACUCCUACGGGAGGCAGCAGUGCGGAAUGUUGGACUAGGGGGGCAACCCUGAUCCAGCCAUGCCGCGUGGGUGAAGAAGGCCUUCGGGUUGUAAAGCUCUUUCGGCCGGGAAGAAAUCGCACGGGCUAAUACCCUGUGUGGAUGACGGUACCGGAAUAAGAAGCACCGGCUAACUACGUGCCAGCCGCCGCCGUAA